GACGUAGGGCGCGAGCGUUGUCCGGAUUUAUUGGGCGUAAAGAGCUCGUAGGCGGCUUGUCACGUCGUUCGUGAAAACUUGGGGCUCAACCCCAAGCUUGCGGUCGAUACGGGCAGGCUAGAGUUCGGUAGGGGAAACUGGAAUUCACGGUGUAGCGGUGAAAUGCGUAGAUAUCGUGGAGAACACCCGUGGCGAAAGCGGGUUUCUGGCAGACUCCUGACGCUGAGGCGCGAAAGCCAGGGGAGCGAACGGG
rnacentral:rRNA from 1 species